rnacentral:rRNA from 1 species
GGAGUCUAGCAUGCGCGCAUUUCACUGGGACUACCGAAACCUAAGGGCGAAAUGAAAGUGAAGGCCGCUUCGGCGGCCUAGGAAGGAUGGGUCGCGUCAAGGCGCGGCCCCGCACUUCUGGGGCGUCUUACUCUCAUCGCGAGAAGAGGCGCACCUAGAGCGUGCACGCUGGGACCCGAAAGAUGGUGAACUAUGCUUGGUCAGGACGAAGUCAGGGGAAACCCUGAUGGAGGUCCGUAGCGAUUCUGACGUGCAAAUCGAUCGUCGGAACUGAGUAUAGGGGCGAAAGACUAAUCGAACCAUCUAGUAGCUGGUUCCCUCCGAAGUUUCCCUCAGGAUAGCUGGCGCUCGCAAUUGCGAGUCUCAUCUGGUAAAGCGAAUGAUUAGAGGCAUUGGGGUCGAAACGGCCUCAACCUAUUCUCAAACUUUAAAUGGGUGAGAUCUCCGGCUUGCUUGAACUUGAAGCCGCGAGAUCGGAUCAGAGUGCCAAGUGGGCCACUUUUGGUAAGCAGAACUGGCGCUGUGGGAUGAACCAAACGCCGAGUUAAAGCGCCUAAAUCGAAGCUUAUGGGAUACCAUGAAAGGCGUUGGUAACUUAAGACAGCAGGACGGUGGCCAUGGAAGUC